rnacentral:lncRNA from 1 species
CCAGAAUCCCCCCUCCCCUCUCCCCCAUUGAACUAAGAGGGUUAAUCUUUAACCAACUCUGGGCUAGUUUUGAUGCCAGAACCAAACGAGGAUUCCAGGGGAGGGAGAUGCUUCAUAACUACAACAGCAUAGUUUAUUGGGAUUGGGGGAAGGUAGAGAGAUUGCUAAAGGAGAGGUCAAAAUAGGUUGUUUGGGAAAUCAUAAUUGUGUGCUGAUGGGGUGAAGCGUCAAGGAGGGAUUGCCCCUAACAAUGUAGAGAAUAACUGAAUCCAAUAACAGGGGGAUGGAUGAAACCACACCACCAAUAACAACAAAAAUAGAGGUUUAGCAGUGUCUACCUCCCAUCCAUGGGGAGCUUCCUAGAACAGUAAGGAUUUUUCUUUAGCUCUUUUCCAAGACCUGAUAGCAACUUCCCACUGAGGAAGGGGAGUGGAGAUCUGUACCUGUGAGAGAAGGGGGAGGGUUGACUCAUAUCCUUGCUAAGGAUGGAGAACAGCUGUUCAUUUGUAAUCUGUGGAAGAAUGGAUACCUUCCUAGUGCUGGGGCAGAUUUGGAAGGAAGAGGCUGGUUUUUUCUCAUGGGUUCUGAAGAGCCAGGAAUGAAAGAGAAGAUGAGGAAAAGGAAAGGAUGGCAGACCCAGAGAGGUUUACAUGCUGCCCUAUGGUAAUAGUCUGGGCAAAAAUGUUUUUUUCAUCUGCAGGGAUUGGGAAUGGGGUUCGAGAUUUAAAGGCAAAAAGAGAACUUAGGAAACUUUCCAGUUGCCAGAGUCUAUUGGAAGGAGAAAAAGAAGUUGACUGAGAGGGAAUUGGAUGAAAAGACCUUCUUCGCACGAUAAUGGCCUUGACCCAUCCCAUCCAGUACCCAGAGCAAGGAUGGUGGGAGAAAGGGAAUAUCCUUCCUUCCCUUACUCAGUUCAAGUCAAGUGGGACGAAAGGCGAGAGCCUCGGCCUGCCACAACUCUUGGAAAACUUCGGGCAAGCAGGAAGAACAUGGGGCCCCACCAAAGGAACCGCACAAUGAAAAAUCCAUCGGGAGCCAUAGGAGGAGUUGGGGAGCAACUAAGAGUCAGUGUCUAAGAAAAGCGAGGGGGCUACUCGAUAAAUAUACCUUAGACACUUAGACACUGAUAACAGCGGUACCGGGAUCUCAAUUCCCAUCGCCGAACUGUCUCAGCCAGGAUGCAGGUGGACCGAGGAGGAAAAGUUUCCUAAGAAGGGAAGAUGCUUGGGGAAAUCGUUCUUUCUUCCGUUUCUGUGCAGCUGGAGGGCCUGGGAUAAACCCUUAAAAACUGUGUAAAAAAAAUGUAAAGGGUAUGUGGGAUGGGGCUCGAUCUUAGAAAGAAUAAAGCCACUCGAUUGCUAUUUCUGCGUCCCCCC